ACAAAUUACAAACGCAAAUGCAAGUCUAAAAAACAAACCGUAAAUGGAAGACGAAUCGUGUAGCGGGAGUGCAGGAGGGAGUGAAUGGUGGAAAGUAGUCAAUCGGAAAAGAAAGAAAAACAAUAGUCAAGGAUCAUUUACGGAUAGUGGAAAGGAGGAUCAUGUGAGUAGGAAAAAUAUAGAGGAAUACAAAGUAAUGAUGAAAUUUGCAGAACCUGGUAUGACGAUAAACCCGAUUAAACUGACCAAAUCUCUGAACAAAGCGUUAGGAGAAAUAAAUAAUGCAAAGACUCUGAGAGAUGGAAACUUGAUUAUCAUGUGUAAGGGCGAAAAACAACAAAAUAAGGCACUAAGUAUAAAUUCGAUGCUUGGAUACCCGGUAUCAUGCACAUUGAUGAAGACGAAGCCUUGGGUUAGAGGCGUAAUAACUGGAAUUCCUACUGAUGUACAUGCUGAUAAAAUGAAAAGUUGCGUUGAAGGGGGGAAGGUAAUUGGAGCAAAACGGCUUCAAUAUGUGAGAAAUAAAGAAAGGAUGGACAGUCUAUCGGUUAUGCUUCAGUUUGAUGAAGAAAGAAUGCCAGAGAGGGUAAAAAUAGGCUAUGUAAGUUACCCAGUAAGACCAUACGUACCUCCUCCACUUAGAUGCUUCAAGUGCCAGAAGUAUGGACAUGUUAGUGCAGUUUGUAGAGGAAGACAACGUUGUGCGAGAUGUGGGGGUGAUCAUGUAUAUGGUAAAUGUGGCGAAGGAGCGAAGGCAAAAUGCUGCAACUGUGGAGGUGAGCAUAGUGCUGGAUUUGGGGGAUGCAUUGCUCACAAACAUGCUGUGAAAAUUCAAAAUGUGAGAAUAACUGAGGGGUUGACUUAUGCUGAAGCAGCCCAAAAAGCAAAACAAAACGAGCAGAUACAGAGAGAGAUAAAAAUACAAGAAUGGACUGGGAAUGCUGUGGCUCAGAGAAAGAUAAAAGAGGAUAGUUUGGUGAUCGGGAAAAUUGAAUUUGUUUAAUUUACAUCCGCCAUAAAACGUUAUUAGAAGAAGAAGAAGAAGAAGAAAGGCGGGGCAUAGAGGAGAAACCAAGUAGAUUUCUGUUGGUCAAUGCCACAAAUUUGCGUGAACAACUUGAACAAAGAACAAAAUCUGCUAGGGGGACUUUUUUUGCCCUCAUGCAAAACUCCCGAUUAUGCGAAUACCAAGCAAUA
rnacentral:lncRNA from 1 species